ensembl:lncRNA
UACAGACAUAAGCUGAGCAUGAUGUUAUGUCUGCAUGUGAUCUUAUCUAAGUGCUUUGAGAGAGAAAAGGGGCUUUUUUUUUUUUUUUUAUUCAGGGGGAAUUUCAUAUCUAAGUCCCCUGAGUACUUGUUGGAAAUCUCACCGUGACGCUUAUCUGCUUAGGCAUGCAUUCAAGAAAAAUAAUUUUUGUUUGGGGGAUUUUUUUAGGGGAAUUUUAUAUAACUAGAGAUAGGGCAGGGCUAGGUCCCAAGUUUAAAACACUUCUUUUCCUACUGUUGUAACAGAUUCAUUCUAUCACUACAAAACAAAAGAUGCAGCUAACAAGAUGUUCUUUAAAUUAACAGCCUUCUCUUUGAAGAAAGGUAGAAUGCUUUGCUGUCAUAUUUCUCUUAUGAGCACCUAUGACAUGGAGAAAAUGUGAGGCAUGUCUAAGACGACUUCUUUUGUCAGGAUGGACAAUAUUUUAUGUUAAACUUCUGUACUCGUGAGAUGCCAGAGUGAUAUUAUGAUAGACCUCCCUAUUUGUGUUUGUGUAAAUUUUUUAUAGGAUCUUCUAAAAAAGAUGCCUACACUGUCUGCCCUGUAGGGCCUAUUGGCUUCCAGUUUUCCUGUAAUAUCUGGUUUGCAGUAAAUGAAGGAAUGAGACUUGAAGCAUGCUCUGUCUUAGGGUACUUAGCUGGAGAAUUCCUUUGCAUCAAGCUAAGCCCUGUCUGUUGCCCUGACCUGAACCAGGCCAUGAAGGAAGUGGAAAGACAGAAUGAAGACAUCACCAGAUUAAUUAUUUCUAGGAUGUAUCUUGUACUCUUUUCUUCUAACUUAACCAUGGUUUCUUUCCAUAACUUAAAUAAUUUGGUUUUUAAGGUAUUUUGUAGCUAACUAAAUUAUACAGAAGUUUUAGUAUGAUUUGCACUUUUAAGUGCCACAUUUGAACACUUAUGUGAUAGUGAAAAAGAAUUGGAAAGACGUAUCUUCUUGCAUGAAGAAAAACCAUGAUAUGAGUGGAAAAACUUCGGGCUUUACUUUUCAUGUACAUAAUACAUUCUGUUUAUGGAGUCAUAUUUCACUGAUCACAUUUCUCAUCCCACCUUUUGAUCCUUGUAUGCGUUGUUCGCACACAAAAUUUCCUUUCACUUGGGAAGAAGUAGACCAGUGAAAUCAGUAUCUUCAUCUCACUGCGGUCAGUGAAUGAACUUCCAAUUCAGUGCUUUCUCUACACCUAGAUUUUGACAGUAUUUUCUAGCACAGCCCAUGGAAUAACUGUUACUAGGGUUCUGGCCAUUAAUGUUUAUGUAUAGCCAAGACAAAGAACUGAAGUAUGACAGAUUUGAUAUGAAAGAGAGCAUCAAAUUACAUUACACAUUCAGCUUCUACUGAGAGCUCUACUCAGAGGCUCUACCAGUCAUAGGGCAGUAGUGUCCAUGCAUUUCAGUGGUAUGAUGCACAAAGAAAGCAUCAGUUCAUGGAAACAUAUGUGGGACCCUGCUUGGGAUCAAGACACGCUUGUUAUCUUAUUUUUCUGGCUACGCAGAACUGUCUUUUAUUCUUAUAUUUCAUAGCAGUUUUGUAACUUAAGCAACACAUACUGCAAAAAGAAUGUGAGAAAAUAAAAUGACUUUUCUCCUGCUUUCUUGCA